rnacentral:rRNA from 1 species
UACGGGAGGCAGCAGUGGGGAAUCUUCCGCAAUGGGCGAAAGCCUGACGGAGCAACGCCGCGUGAGUGAAGAAGGGUUUCGGCUCGUAAAGCUCUGUUGACGGGGACGAACGUGCGAGAUGCGAAUAGUUUCUUGCAAUGACGGUACCCGUCGAGGAAGCCACGGCUAACUACGUGCCAGCAGCCGCGGUAAU